AAGUCGUAACAAGGUUUCCGUAGGUGAACCUGCGGAAGGAUCAUUACAGAAUUGAAAUCGACCGACCCUGUUGAAGCGUGGGCUGGUCUCGAGCGAGCGAGUGAGCGAGUGAGCGAGCCUGCUUGCUAGCUUGUUUGUUUGCUAGCUUGCUUGCUUGCUUGCUCGAGACAAGCAAAAACAAAACAAAACAAUUGAUGAAUGUACCAGUGAAUAUGAAAAAAAGAAAAACAACUUUUAACAAUGGAUCUCUUGGCUCUU
rnacentral:misc_RNA from 1 species